CCUACGGGAGGCAGCAGUGAGGAAUAUUGGUCAAUGGACGAGAGUCUGAACCGGCCAAGUAGCGUGAAGGAUGACUGCCCUAUGGGUUGUAAACUUCUUUUAUAUGGGAAUAAAACGUUCCACGUGUGGGAUUUUGUAUGUACCAUAUGAAUAAGGAUCGGCCAACUCCGUGCCAGCAGCCGCGGUAAUACGGAGGAUCCGAGCGUUAUCCGGAUUUAUUGGGUUUAAAGGGAGCGUAGGUGGAUUGGUAAGUCAGUUGUGAAAGUUUGCGGCUCAACCGUAAAAUUGCAGUUGAAACUGGCAGUCUUGAGUACAGUAGAGGUGGGCGGAAUUCGUGGUGUAGCGGUGAAAUGCUUAGAUAUCACGAAGAACUCCGAUUGCGAAGGCAGUUCACUGGACUGCAACUGACACUGAGGCUCGAAAGUGUGGGUAUCAAACAGGAUUAGAUACCCGUGUAGUC
rnacentral:rRNA from 1 species